UUUACAUCCAAUGGGUUGGAUCCCAACAGGAUGGUUCAUGUCAACAGUAGACGACCAGUUUUCAACUAAGGAUUUUAAGCCAACGUAGACGUUAACGUCUUGAGUCCAUGAUUCUAUAAAGGUUGGUGGUGUUAUCCUAACAGAGCUGAUCUUUUAUUAGUGAUGUGCAAUGAUGAUUCAAUAGACUAGAGUCUCUGAUGACAACAUGAAGCUCUUUACAUUUCUCUGAGCACAGCUUUUGAUUAUAAACAUGUAUUUGUAAUGAAGAACUCCUGAUUUACUUUGGCUUUUUCUCUUAGGUUGAUGUG